rnacentral:rRNA from 1 species
GAAGAAAGCUGGCGGCGUGCCUAAUACAUGCAAGUCGAGCGAAGUUUUUCUGGUGCUUGCACUAGAAAAACUUAGCGGCGAACGGGUGAGUAACACGUAAAGAACCUGCCUCAUAGACUGGGACAACUAUUGGAAACGAUAGCUAAUACCGGAUAACAGUAUUUCUCGCAUGAGAGAUAUUUAAAAGUUGGUUAUGCUAACACUAUGAGAUGGCUUUGCGGUGCAUUAGCUAGUUGGUGGGGUAAAGGCCCACCAAGGCGACGAUGCAUAGCCGACCUGAGAGGGUGAUCGGCCACACUGGGACCGAGACACGGCCCAGACUCCUACGGGAGGCAGCAGUAGGGAAUCUUCCGCAAUGGGCGAAAGCCUGACGGAGCAACGCCGCGUGAGUGAAGAAGGAUUUCGGUUCGUAAAGCUCUGUUGUUAGGGAAGAAUGGAUAUGUAGUAACUAUACAUGUAAGAGACGGUACCUAACCAGAAAGCCACGGCUAACUACGUG